rnacentral:rRNA from 1 species
UACGGAGGGUGCAAGCGUUAUCCGGAUUCACUGGGUUUAAAGGGUGCGUAGGCGGGCAGGUAAGUCCGUGGUGAAAUCUCCAAGCUUAACUUGGAAACUGCCGUGGAUACUAUUUGUCUUGAAUAUAGUGGAGGUGAGCGGAAUAUGUCAUGUAGCGGUGAAAUGCUUAGAUAUGACAUAGAACACCAAUUGCGUAGGCAGCUUACUACACGAUCAUUGACGCUGAGGCACGAAAGCGUGGGGAGCAAACAGG